UACGGGGGGGGCAAGCGUUGUUCGGAAUUACUGGGCGUAAAGGGCUCGUAGGCGGCCAACUAAGUCCGACGUGAAAUCCCCAAGCUUAACUUGGGAACUGCGUCGGAUACUGGAUGGCUUGAAUUCGGGAGAGGGAUGCAGAAUUCCAGGUGUAGCGGUGAAAUGCGUAGAUAUUGGGAAGAACACCAGUGGCGAAGGCGGCUCACUGGCCCGUAACUGACGCUGAGGUGCGAAAGCGUGGGGAGCAAACAGG
rnacentral:rRNA from 1 species